UACGUAGGGCGCAAGCGUUGUCCGGAAUUAUUGGGCGUAAAGAGCUCGUAGGUGGCUUGUCGCGUCUGCCGUGAAAGCCCAUGGCUUAACUGUGGGUCUGCAGUGGGUACGGGCAGACUAGAGUGCGGUAGGGGUGACUGGAAUUCCUGGUGUAGCGGUGGAAUGCGCAGAUAUCAGGAGGAACACCGGUGGCGAAGGCGGGUCUCUGGGCAACUACUGACGCUGAGGAGCGAAAGCGUGGGGAGCGAACAGG
rnacentral:rRNA from 1 species